rnacentral:rRNA from 1 species
UACGUAGGGGGCUAGCGUUGUCCGGAAUCAUUGGGCGUAAAGCGCGUGUAGGCGGUCCGGUAAGUCCGCUGUGAAAGUCGGGGGCUCAACCCUCGGAUGCCGGUCGAUACUGCCGGACUAGAGUCCGGAAGAGGCAAGUGGAAUUCCCGGUGUAGCGGUGAAAUGCGCAGAUAUCGGGAGGAACACCAAUGGCGAAGGCAGCUUGCUGGGACGGUACUGACGCUGAGACGCGAAAGCGUGGGGAGCAAACAGG